GCGUGGGUGGCGGAAUGGUAGACGCGCAAGGUUGAGGGCCUUGUCGGGGGUUUCCCGGUGGGGGUUCAAGUCCCCCUUCACGCA
rnacentral:tRNA from 1 species